rnacentral:rRNA from 1 species
UACGUAGGUGGCAAGCGUUGUCCGGAUUUACUGGGCGUAAAGGGCGCGCAGGCGGUCGGUCAAGUCGGGUGUGAAAGCCCCCGGCUCAACUGGGGAGGGUCACGCGAUACUGAUCGACUCGAAGGCAGGAGAGGGUAGUGGAAUUCCCGGUGUAGUGGUGAAAUGCGUAGAUAUCGGGAGGAACACCAGUGGCGAAGGCGACUACCUGGCCUGUUCUUGACGCUGAGGCGCGAAAGCUAGGGGAGCAAACGGG